rnacentral:rRNA from 1 species
UACGAAGGGGGCUAGCGUUGUUCGGAAUUACUGGGCGUAAAGGGCGCGUAGGCGGUCCUUCAAGUCAGGCGUGAAAGCCCCGGGCUCAACCUGGGAACCGCGCUUGAGACUGGCGGGCUAGAGUUCGGGAGAGGAUGGUGGAAUUCCCAGUGUAGAGGUGAAAUUCGUAGAUAUUCGCAAGAACACCAGUGGCGAAGGCGGCUCACUGGCCCGGAACUGACCGCUGAGGUGCGAAAGCGUGGGGAGCAAACAGG